GCAUACGAUCUACGGAUGAAAGCGGGGGAUCGCAAGACCUCGCGCGAUUGGAGCGGCCGAUAUCAGAUUAGCUAGUUGGUGAGGUAAAGGCUCACCAAGGCGACGAUCUGUAGCUGGUCUGAGAGGACGACCAGCCACACUGGAACUGAGACACGGUCCAGACUCCUACGGGAGGCAGCAGUGGGGAAUUUUGGACAAUGGGCGCAAGCCUGAUCCAGCAAUGCCGCGUGCAGGAUGAAGGCCUUCGGGUUGUAAACUGCUUUUGUACGGAGCGAAACGGUCCUUUCUAAUACAGAGGGCUAAUGACGGUACCGUAAGAAUAAGCACCGGCUAACUACGUGCCAGCAGCCGCGGUAAUACGUAGGGUGCGAGCGUUAAUCGGAAUUACUGGGCGUAAAGCGUGCGCAGGCGGUUAUAUAAGACAGAUGUGAAAUCCCCGGGCUCAACCUGGGACCUGCAUUUGUGACUGUAUAGCUAGAGUACGGUAGAGGGGGAUGGAAUUCCGCGUGUAGCAGUGAAAUGCGUAGAUAUGCGGAGGAACACCGAUGGCGAAGGCAAUCCCCUGGACCUGUACUGACGCUCAUGCACGAAAGCGUGGGGAGCAAACAGGAUUAGAUACCCUGGUAGUCCACGCCCUAAACGAUGUCAACUGGUUGUUGGGUCUUCACUGACUCAGUAACGAAGCUAACGCGUGAAGU
rnacentral:rRNA from 1 species